rnacentral:rRNA from 1 species
GCCAACGGCCAUCCCACGUUGAACACACCAGUUCUCGUCCGAUCACUGAAGUUAAGCAACGUCGGGCCCGGUUAGUACUUGGAUGGGUGACCGCCUGGGAACCCCGGGUGCUGUUGGUA